CAGUAGCCACGGUAAUACGUAGGGUGCAAGCGUUGUCCGGAAUUAUUGGGCGUAAAGAGCUCGUAGGCGGUUUGUCGCGUCUGCUGUGAAAUCUGGGGGCUCAACCCCCAGCCUGCAGUGGGUACGGGCAGACUAGAGUGCGGUAGGGGAGAUUGGAAUUCCUGGUGUAGCGGUGGAAUGCGCAGAUAUCAGGAGGAACACCGAUGGCGAAGGCAGAUCUCUGGGCCGUAACUGACGCUGAGGGGCGAAAGCAUGGGGAGCGAACAGGAUUAGAUACCCGCGUAGUCCCUGUCUCUUAUAC
rnacentral:rRNA from 1 species